rnacentral:rRNA from 1 species
UACGGAGGGUGCAAGCAUUGAUCGGAAUUACUGGGCGUAAAGGGUGCGUAGGCGGACUGGAAAGUCAGAUGUGAAAUUCCGUGGCUCAACUGCGGAACUGCAUUUGAAACUUCCAGACUGGAGCAUAGUUAGGGAAAACGGAAUUCCACGUGUAGCGGUGAAAUGCGUAGAUAUGUGGAAGAACACCGGUGGUGAAGACGGUUUUCUGGGCUAUUGCUGACGCUGAGGCACGAAAGCUAGGGGAGCAAACAGGAUUAGAUACCCUGGUAGUCCUAGCCUUAAACGAUGCAUACUAGAAGUAGGCGGGCUCAACCCCGUCUGUUUCGGAGCUAACGCGUUAAGUAUGCCGCCUGGGGAGUACGCUCGCAAGGGUGAAACUCAAAAGAAUUGACGGGGGCCCGCACAAGCAGUGGAGCAUGUGGUUUAAUUCGAUGCAACGCGAAGAACCUUACCCAGGCUAGAAGUGUAGAGAAAUGUAACAGAAAUGUUAUUGCCCGAAAGGGGCUCUAUAUAGGUGCUGCAUGGCUGUCGUCAGCUCGUGCCGUGAGGUGUUGGGUUAAGUCCCGCAACGAGCGCAACCCUUAUUGUCAGUUGCCAACGCGUAAUGGCGGGGACUCUGGCAAGACUGCCUAGGUUAACUAGGAGGAAGGUGAGGAUGACGUCAAGUCCGCAUGGCCUUUAUGUCUGGGGCUACACACGUGCUACAAUGGUCGGUACAGAAGGCAGCGAAGCCGCAAGGUGGAGCAAAUCCGAAAAAACCGAUCUCAGUUCAGAUUGCAGUCUGCAACUCGACUGCAUGAAGUUGGAAUUGCUAGUAAUGGCGUGUCAGCAACAGCGCCGUGAAUACGUUCCCGGGCCUUGUACACACCGCCCGUCACAUCAUGGGAGUUGGUUUUACCCGAAGUCACUGACUCAACCGCAAGGGGAGAGGUGCCUAAGGUAAGGCCGAUGACUGGGAUG